rnacentral:rRNA from 1 species
UACGGGGGGAGCAAGCGUUGUUCGGAUUUACUGGGCGUAAAGAGCUCGUAGGCGGUGUGUCGCGUCGGCCGUGAAAACCUGGGGCUCAACUCUGGGCGUGCGGUCGAUACGGGCAUCACUUGAGUUCGGCAGGGGAGACUGGAAUUCCUGGUGUAGCGGUGAAAUGCGCAGAUAUCAGGAGGAACACCGGUGGCGAAGGCGGGUCUCUGGGCCGAUACUGACGCUGAGGAGCGAAAGCAUGGGUAGCGAACAGG